GCACGCAUUUACAAUUAGAUGGACAAAUUCCACUGGGAUGCAGAUGGAAUGUCGAAAAAUGCUAUGACGAGACCCCGGCUAGACAAUUGGAUUUCUACCGGAAUGAGCUUGACCGUAUGAAGAUUUUUCAGAUGGAAUGGGAGCCCUACACCCAAUUUCUACCUCAGCUACCCCCAAUAUGCACAGAAUACCAAGUUGUAUGGAGAGCUAGAGUUCCUCUUAUAUGUUUGGAGAUAGUAGAAAUGCAUGUACCGGACCGCGUGCUUCGACAAUAUGGUCGUGCACAACAUGUUCCGCAAUUUGUUGAAAAGAUAGAGAGGAAAG